rnacentral:misc_RNA from 1 species
CUUUCUGUCUGAAGACUCGUGUAGAGUCGGGAACAUAAAAAGUGAAAUGCGUCUUUAGAAUCAAAAUAUCAAAAACUUGAAAACUUAAGAAUAGAAAAGGUAAGUGUUCUAGAAGAAAAUAAACGAGGAGCGGAUUCUCUCUCAUUUUAUUUAUCAGCUGCAGGUUUAUUUUCAUUUUGUACAGCUGUUUUCAUGAGUAAGAGACUGAUAGAGGUACUCGACCUUUCGGCUUUACUUAAAGUAUUUCUUAAUUUAAUUUAACCAUGGGACAUAUCGAUAAUUAAAACAGGAAUUAUAAUCAAUAAUAGUGAUUUCAAGAGAGUAACACAUUUUUUCAUUAAAAUCUUAUUAUUCACACAAACUUUAGGGAAUGUCAUAUAUUGAAUAGGUAGGCCUAACGUUAUGUGAAAAAGAUACAUGUAUACUUUAUUGU